rnacentral:rRNA from 1 species
GAUGAACGCUGGCGGCGUGCCUAACACAUGCAAGUCGAACGGAGAUUACGGACGGAAGUUUUCGGAUGGAAGACUGUAAUUCUUAGUGGCGGACGGGUGAGUAACGCGUGGGCAACCUGCCCUAUACAGGGGGAUAGCAGCUGGAAACGGCUGGUAAGACCGCAUAAGUCGGUUAAAUCGCAUGAUUUGAUCGGGAAAUGAGCAAUCAGGUAUAGGAUGGGCCCGCGUCCGAUUAGCCAGUUGGCAGGGUAAAAGCCUACCAAAGCGACGAUCGGUAGCCGGACUGAGAGGUCGGACGGCCACAUUGGGACUGAGACACGGCCCAAACUCCUACGGGAGGCAGCAGUGGGGGAUAUUGCACAAUGGAGGAAACUCUGAUGCAGCGACGCCGCGUGAGUGAAGAAGUAUUUCGGUAUGUAAAGCUCCAUCAGCAGGGAAGAUGAUGACGGUACCUGACUAAGAAGCCCCGGCUAACUACGU